rnacentral:rRNA from 1 species
AGAGGAAGUAAAAGUCGUAACAAGGUUUCCGUAGGUGAACCUGCGGAAGGAUCAUUAACGAGUUUUGAAAUGGGUUGUAGCUGGCCUUACGAAGGCAUGUGCACACCCUGCUCAUCCACUCUCAUACCCCUGUGCACCUAUUGUAGGCUUGGUGGGAAGACUGGCAUCACAACCAGUCGGAAAGCCUUGCCUAUGUUUUAACACAAACGCUUCAGUUUUAGAAUGUCACAUUUGCGUCUAACGCAUGAAAUACAACUUUCAGCAACGGAUCUCUUGGCUCUCGCAUCGAUGAAGAACGCAGCGAAAUGCGAUAAGUAAUGUGAAUUGCAGAAUUCAGUGAAUCAUCGAAUCUUUGAACGCACCUUGCACUCCUUGGUAUUCCGAGGAGUAUGCCUGUUUGAGUGUCAUGGUAUUCUCAACCUCUAAAGCUUUUGCGAUAGAGGCUUGGAUGUGGAGGUCGUGUUGGCGCAAGUCAACUCCUCUGAAAUGCAUUAGUGUGAAUCUUACGGAUCGCCUCCAGUGUGAUAAGUAUCUACGCUGUGGUGUUGAAGUAUAUAGGCAUUCAUGCUUCUAAUCGUCUCUUCAUUGAGACAAUUACUUGACAAUCUGACCUCAAAUCAGGUAGGACUACCCGCUGAACUUAAGCAUAUCAA